rnacentral:rRNA from 1 species
AUUGAACGCUGGCGGCAGGCCUAACACAUGCAAGUCGAACGAGUGGCGGACGGGUGAGUAAUGUCUGGGAAACUGCCCGAUGGUGGGGGAUAACUACUGGAAACGGUAGCUAAUACCGCAUACCAUUGGAUGUGCCCAGAUGGGAUUAGCUAGUUGGUGGGGUAACGGCUCACCUAGGCGACGAUCCCUAGCUGGUCUGAGAGGAUGACCAGCCACACGGGAACUGAGACACGGUCCAGACGCCUGCGGGAGGCAGCAGUGGGGAAUAUUGCACAAUGGGGGCAAGCCUGAUGCAGCCAUGCCGCGUGUAUGAAGAAGGCCUUCGGGUUGGAAAGUACUUUCAGCGAGGAGGCGUUACUCGCAGAAGAAGCACCGGCUAACUCCGUGCCAGCCGCCGCGGUAAUUC